UACGGGGGGAGCAAGCGUUGUUCGGAAUUACUGGGCGUAAAGGCUCGUAGGCGGCCAACUAAGUCGGAUGUGAAAUCCCCAGGCUUAACCUGGGAACUGCAUCCGAUACUGGAUGGCUUGAAUCCGGGAGAGGGAUGCAGAAUUCCAGGUGUAGCGGUGAAAUGCGUAGAUAUCUGGAGGAACACCAAGGCCGAAGGCAGC
rnacentral:rRNA from 1 species